UACAGAGGUCCCAAGCGUUGUUCGGAUUCACUGGGCGUAAAGGGUGCGUAGGCGGUCGGGUAAGUCUGAUGUGAAAUCUCACAGCUUAACUGUGAAACUGCAUUGGAUACUAUCCGGCUCGAGGAAUGGAGGGGAGACUAGAAUACUUGGUGUAGCAGUGAAAUGCGUAGAUAUCAAGUGGAACACCAGUGGCGAAGGCGGUGCUCUGGGCCGGAACUGACGCUGAGGAGCGAAAGCGUGGGGAGCAAACAGG
rnacentral:rRNA from 1 species